rnacentral:lncRNA from 1 species
GCAAAACCACGAAGUAUUUUGGGAGUGGAAGCAGGGAGAAGGUGGAGGGCUGACUUUCCGCGCACAGGGUACAGGCGAGAAGAGGUGCUUGUAACUACUGGCUGCAGGAUACUGCAGGAGCAGAGGUAGCAAACAGCUGAAUUCUAUGAAAAUAGAAAUUGGUUAAAAGUGUUGCUUCAGUGUAUCAGAUGACAAGGGAGAUGGUGAAAUAUUACAAGGGCCCUACAGAAUAGACACUUGCAACUCUCCAGCCAAGUAAACAUGCUUCAGAGGACAUCGUAGAGAAAGGACUGUCAUCUAGUGGAGUCCUUUAGCCACUGUUACGUUUGGAGUAUUACAUAAAAUUCUACAUACAACA